UGAACGCUGGCGGUAGGCCUAACACAUGCAAGUCGAACGGCAGCACAGUAAGAGCUUGCUCUUACGGGUGGCGAGUGGCGGACGGGUGAGGAAUACAUCGGAAUCUACUUUUUCGUGGGGGAUAACGUAGGGAAACUUACGCUAAUACCGCAUACGACCUACGGGUGAAAGCAGGGGAUCUUCGGACCUUGCGCGUUUGAAUGAGCCGAUGUCGGAUUAGCUAGUUGGCGGGGUAAAGGCCCACCAAGGCGACGAUCCGUAGCUGGUCUGAGAGGAUGAUCAGCCACACUGGAACUGAGACACGGUCCAGACUCCUACGGGAGGCAGCAGUGGGGAAUAUUGGACAAUGGGCGCAAGCCUGAUCCAGCCAUACCGCGUGGGUGAAGAAGGCCUUCGGGUUGUAAAGCCCUUUUGUUGGGAAAGAAAAGCAGCAGGUUAAUACCCCGCUGUUCUGACGGUACCCAAAGAAUAAGCACCGGCUAACUUCGUG
rnacentral:rRNA from 1 species